GACGGAAGGUGCAAGCGUUGCUCGGAAUCACUGGGCGUAAAGGGUGCGCAGGCGGCCAAGUGUGUUAGGCGUGAAAGCCCGGGGCUUAACCCCGGAAUUGCACCUAAAACUACAUGGCUAGAGCAUUGGAGAGGGUAGCGGAAUUCACGGUGUAGCAGUGAAAUGCGUAGAUAUCGUGAGGAACACCAGAGGCGAAGGCGGCUACCUGGACAAUUGCUGACGCUCAGGCACGAAAGCGUGGGGAGCAAAAGGG
rnacentral:rRNA from 1 species